UGGGUGGUGGAUACAUACCUACCCUCGUGUGCGCUCAGAAGUCCAGACUAGGGUUUCUUUUUUAUCCCAUUUUUCUCUUUUCAAGGCAUAUUUUCUUUCCCAGUGGUGCUCAUUUUAUGUUGAAACUUAAGGAACUCAUCAAUUUGUUUUCUUUGAGCACACAUCACUGGUACGUGGAAGUGUGCUGUGAAGAUCCUGGCCUGGAAAAGUCCUUCGACCCCACCAAGAAGGGCAAGGAAGCUGGUCUGCACUCCGAGGGCACACAGAAGCCACACGAUUCAUGCCUCUCUGUUUGGGAAAUGAGAACAGUACUGCCCUCCCAGCACAGCUGUGAAAAUUAAAGGAGCACAUGAGAGUCUCGCCAGCAUGUGGGGGUUCCUUUUGGACUGAGAGGCUCGUGUCUGCAGCUCCUGCCAUCCCCAGGGCUUCGUCCUGAAUGCUAUGAAGAGGUUACUGAAAAGGAUGACGAACGGGAAGACCUCGGAGGGGGUAUGGAGUUAUUUCCCUGUUACUCUGACUCCUGAGCAACAGCCCAGGGGCUCUGCACCUCCAGAACACCAGCCUGGCUCAAAGAAAUUAGCAUGGCCUGCAAUAUUCUUUCCAUUCUCCCUCGUUCAGAACCCUCUGGGAGAACUCUGAACCAUGAGACAGGAUUCCUUAAAUGCAUAUUUUUAAAAAAUGUAGUCUUGAUUUGUUUUAAGUUCAGAAAAGUUAGAACUAGCCUCUUUACCAGAAAACUUUCUCCCAAUCCUUAGACUGUGGGAGAGAGAGGAAGAGAAACAAGGGGCAGACCUGUCUUGAUCUGACACGAGCUGCCUCCUAUUUGAAGCCUUGCCACUAAAGCAGGGAUAGCAAUUUCCUUAAUGGUGCUCCCUGCACCCUCCUGACCUGGGUUCUGGUGUCCUCAUACUGAAUCCCUCUGGAAGCACAAACUUGAAAUAUCUGCACAUCUUUUCACGAUCUUGAAAGUCGUUCAAGCUUUCCCCACCUUUUCCGUAUGUCUGCACAGUUCGGUUUGGGGAAAAAACCUGAAGAACUUAUCAUCCUCCACUCCCUGGCUUUUCCUUCUC